rnacentral:rRNA from 1 species
AGAGUUUGAUCCUGGCUCAGGAUGAACGCUAGCGACAGGCUUAACACAUGCAAGUCGAGGGGCAGCACAGGUAGCAAUACCGGGUGGCGACCGGCGCACGGGUGAGUAACGCGUAUGCAACUUACCUAUCAGAGGGGGAUAACCCGGCGAAAGUCGGACUAAUACCGCAUGAAGCAGGGAUCCCGCAUGGGAAUAUUUGCUAAAGAUUCAUCGCUGAUAGAUAGGCAUGCGUUCCAUUAGGCAGUUGGCGGGGUAACGGCCCACCAAACCGACGAUGGAUAGGGGUUCUGAGAGGAAGGUCCCCCACAUUGGUACUGAGACACGGACCAAACUCCUACGGGAGGCAGCAGUGAGGAAUAUUGGUCAAUGGCCGAGAGGCUGAACCAGCCAAGUCGCGUGAGGGAUGAAGGUUCUAUGGAUCGUAAACCUCUUUUAUAAGGGAAUAAAGUGCGGGACGUGUCCCGUUUUGUAUGUACCUUAUGAAUAAGGAUCGGCUAACUCCGUGCCAGCAGCCGCGGUAAUACGGAGGAUCCGAGCGUUAUCCGGAUUUAUUGGGUUUAAAGGGAGCGUAGAUGGAUGUUUAAGUCAGUUGUGAAAGUUUGCGGCUCAACCGUAAAAUUGCAGUUGAUACUGGAUAUCUUGAGUGCAGUUGAGGCAGGCGGAAUUCGUGGUGUAGCGGUGAAAUGCUUAGAUAUCACGAAGAACUCCGAUUGCGAAGGCAGCUUACUGGACUGUAACUGACGCUGAUGCUCGAAAGUGUGGGUAUCAAACAGGAUUAGAUACCCUGGUAGUCCACACAGUAAACGAUGAAUACUCGCUGUUUGCGAUAUACAGCAAGCGGCCAAGCGAAAGCGUUAAGUAUUCCACCUGGGGAGUACGCCGGCAACGGUGAAACUCAAAGGAAUUGACGGGGGCCCG